GAUGAACGCUGGCCGUGCCUAAUACAUGCAAGUCGCGCGAACGGACGAGAAGCUUGCUUCUCUGUUGUUAGCGGCGGACGGGUGAGUAACACGUGGAUAACCUACCUAUAAGACUGGGAUAACUUCGGGAAACCGGAGCUAAUACCAGAUGAUAUUUUGAACCGCAUGGUUCAAAGGUGAAAGACGGUCUUGCUGUCACUUAUAGAUGGAUCCGCGCUGCAUUAGCUAGUUGGUAAGGUAACGGCUUACCAAGGCAACGAUGCAUAGCCGACCUGAGAGGGUGAUCGGCCACACUGGAACUGAGACACGGUCCAGACUCCUACGGGAGGCAGCAGUAGGGAAUCUUCCGCAAUGGGCGAAAGCCUGACGGAGCAACGCCGCGUGAGUGAUGAAGGUCUUCGGAUCGUAAAACUCUGUUAUUAGGGAAGAACAGAUGUGUAAGUAACUGUGCACAUCUUGACGGUACCUAAUCAGAAAGCCACGCCUAACUACGUG
rnacentral:rRNA from 1 species